GAUGAAGAACGUAGCGAAAUGCGAUACGUAAUGUGAAUUGCAGAAUUCAGUGAAUCAUCGAAACUUUGAACGCAUAUUGCGCUCUCUGGUAUUCCGGAGAGCAUGCUUGUUUGAGUAUCAGUAAACACCUCAACUUCCAUAUCUUUUUUGAAAUGGGAGUUGGACUUGAGUGAUCCCAACGCUUUUCCUCACCGAAAAGUGGCGGGUUACUUGAAAUGCAGGUGCAGCUGGACUUUUCUCUGAGCUAUAAGCAUAUCUAUUUAGUCUGCCUAAAAAACAGAUUAUUACCUUUGCUGCAGCUAACAUAAAGGAGAUUAGUUCUUGUGCUGACUGAUGCAGGAUUCACAAAGACAGGCUUCGGCCGACUUUGUAAACUCGAUCUCAAAUCAAGUAAGACUACCCGCUGACCUUAAGCAUAUCAAUAAGCGGAGGA
rnacentral:misc_RNA from 1 species